rnacentral:pre_miRNA from 1 species
AAUAAAACAAUCUAUCACUUUUUACCUACAAUAUUUCACUCUUCAUCUUAUUUAAAUUUUUUUUACAAUUAAUAUUUUUUUAUUAGAUGAUAAAUUAUGAAUAAUAUUUUACGUGUGACUAAUUUUUUUCAAUUUCUUAAAUUUUUUUUAAAUAAGACGGAUAGUCAAACGCUGGACACAGAUGGUCAAAAGUUUGAUUUAUU